GGGAGUAGCUAGGUUCUGGUGUGCCUACCGGUCUUCAAAACCGAGUUUGGGGCCUAAUACGUUCCAAGGUGGGUUCGAUUCCCACAUACUCCCGCCA
rnacentral:tRNA from 1 species